UCCUCCUUGUCACUUGUCCACUCGCUGUAGGCAAUCCAUUGAUUGCUCUUUCGCAGGAAUCGAGGCGGCGAUAAGCGCUUUUGUUUAUCCCACCAAGCCAGGUAUGCUAUCCGCUACAACUGUUCUCCCCCCACCCCCUACCCGUCACCAGGCACUAGUGUUUCUCGGCUGAAGCUUGCCGGUGAUGUGCGCGUUGAAGAGCUACGUAGUUUGCUGUUGAAUCUGAAAGUGGAUGGAAGAGAAAUUGUUGAGUGAUAACAAAUCUUAUAGUUAUUUUGUGGUUUUGAUCCAAGUGAUACUGUUCACCAACCUGCACCUUAACAACCUACUUUGUGGGGCUGAUUGAAACCCGACUUCAACAUUGCGUGCUUCAACAGCGUUCAAUAUAGCUUUUUAUAUUUUGAUGAUCCAGCUUUGUCAGCAUAGUGUUUUGUAAGGGGUUACCUGAAUCAUUGGAAGAUAUUAUGCCUUUUUCGAUUAUAACGACGCAUGGCCCAAAGGCUUUUCUGAACUUACACUAGUGCCAGAUGGUUGGAUCCAGAGUACCAGUGCUGGGAAAAGUUAUGUGUAUUGGCCCAAAGGAGACAUAGCUAAGCUGAUCAAAGUUGAAACAAGUACUCCUUCAUCUGGAUGGACGAGACAAGCGUGUGUAGUUCAAAAAUCAAAUAUUUUAUCUUUACAACAAGGUAUAGCUAUACUUAGCGAUAUGUCAGGAGAAUCGAGUGAUGAUUCUUGUAUCAUACAAUCCGUAAAAACUAUGUAUAGGCAGCGAUUUGGCCAGAGAGCAUUAGAAAAUGCUAACAAAGUUAACGCCUUGUCUGAAAAUUGUAUACAGUUAGAAACAGGCACUUUAGCUACAGGUUGCUCACAAUUCAAGACAGACACUUUAGCUAAAGGUGGUUCACAGUUAGAGAGAGACAUUUUACCGUAUGGUUGUGCACAAUUAGAUACAAAUACUUCACCCAAAGGUUGUUCACAGUUAGAAACAGACACUACGAAUGAAUUCAUGGAAUCAGCACAGCCGAGUGUUGCACCAGAAACGACUAGAAAGGAUUUUCCUUCAGUUCCUUCUCAAUUAGAGCAAAGUAAUAGCUUUUCUCCUACAAAUCACAUGGAAAAUGCAAUCACAAGUUUGAUCGCUGUUGUAGGUGGUUUAAUUCAACAAAUCAGCGACAUAAAUUCCAACAAACUGAUAGGAUUAGAUAAAAUUAAUAAUUUAACAAAAGUACUAGAGCAGCAGAUCGUACCAACGUUAGGUGCUCUUGUAGAGGAAUUUAAAGAGUUAAAAAAAAAGUUAAUUUAAAUACGGUACAAAUGGAUCUGUUCAUUAACAGUUUGGAGCAAGAAAACAGAAAAAGAAAAAAACCAUCAUUUUCAAUGGAUCCGAUCGAUAACCAUAAAGAUUUAAAGGAUUUUGACAAAAGUCUUGAGGAAGACGAUUUUAAAACAUCUGUUAUUGAUUGGCUUACCCAUAACAUAUGUGAAACAAACAGUAAUAAUAGAAUGUUAGAUGCUUUGGAUAUGUUACUGAAUCGUUCAUUUUGUACGCAAAUUAGUUGGUCAGGACAAGGCAAAGAAAACUCGAAAAUACCGAUAAAAAUGUUUCCUAAUUUCUUAGAAGUUUUUAGAGAGAUAGGUACAACCCAUUUGACUUUGGUAACAGAUCAAUGCUUGAAAGAUUUUUUCAUAAAAAAAUUAAAGCAUAGCCAGGAAAGAUGCAUGAUUCAAGGGUUACGAAAACCUACUUCUCACAACAAAAGAUGUUGAUGUUAAGAAGUUUUUGAAUACAUUUAUUAAUUAAUAAUAAAAAGAUUAAAAACUUG